GAGUUUGAUCCUGGCUCAGGACGAACGCUGGCGGCACGCCUAACACAUGCAAGUCGAACGGAGAUAUGAAGAUUUAUCGGAAUAUCUUAGUGGCGGACGGGUGAGUAACACGUGAGCAACCUGCCUUUGAGAGUGGAAUAGCUUCUGGAAACGGAUGGUAAUGCCUCAUAACAUACAAGAAUCGCAUGGUUUUUGUAUCAAAGAUUUAUCGCUCAAAGAUGGGCUCGCGUCUGAUUAGAUAGUUGGUGGGGUAACGGCUCACCAAGUCGACGAUCAGUAGCCGGACUGAGAGGUUGAACGGCCACAUUGGGACUGAGACACGGCCCAGACUCCUACGGGAGGCAGCAGUGGGGAAUAUUGCACAAUGGGGGAAACCCUGAUGCAGCGAUGCCGCGUGGAGGAAGAAGGUUUUCGGAUUGUAAACUCCUGUCUUAAAGGACGAAAAUGACGGUACUUUAGGAGGAAGCUCCGGCUAACUACGUGCCAGCAGCCGCGGUAAUACGUAGGGAGCGAGCGUUGUCCGGAAUUACUGGGUGUAAAGGGAGCGUAGGCGGGAUUUUAAGUCAGAUGUGAAAUACGUGGGCUCAACCUACGGGCUGCAUUUGAAACUGAAAUUCUUGAGUGAAGUAGAGGCAAGCGGAAUUCCUGGUGUAGCGGUGAAAUGCG
rnacentral:rRNA from 1 species